rnacentral:misc_RNA from 1 species
CAGUUCACGAUUCCUAUUAAAUAAACUGCAAACUCGUGUGCAGCCUGCAUUUAAGCGAACGAACGCGUCGUUGGCUGCCUGUUUUGUCUCUGUAAUGGUGCAACGAUGCUUUUGUACGCAUGCAAGAACGAGCACCAUUUUCAAUUCCUCUUCUAUCUUUCACCAAUCCAGAAUCUAGUUUCACUUAUGGAUUUUAUAGAAAGAUUCGAACGGAAACACAAAGAGAAAAGACAUGAAGUAAAUGGCAUCGAAAGAGUGAAAAUGGAAGAUGAAAUCAGUUGUGACGAUCCACAGUUUAUGACUAUGUUGGAAACCUGUCUACUCAUGGAGAUCGAAACAUCCAAGAACACGUUUUCUGAACUUGUAAGACAGAUAAAAGACUUCAAAGUUAAAGUAAAGAUGCAGUUGCAAACGAGGAAAGAAUUGAAAGAAAACACAAAGAAUACCCAAGAAAAUAUUUUAAUUUUAAGCAAUUCUCUGAGCAAAGAAAGAAACUAUAUGAUUGAAAUUUCUAAUAAAAUCGAGCUAAUGAAGCUUAAUUUGGAUAACGAUUAUAAAAUUAUGAAAGUGGAUUGUGAAUUUUAUGAAAAUAUAUACAACAAUUACGAAAAAGUGUGGGAAUCGUAUCACGCAAAAUACGAAGAGUUCCCCUUGGCUAAGGACAGAAGAGAGGCGAAAAUAAAAAUGGAAAAGCUUCAAAUCGAUCAGAUGGUCCUGCAAUACAAAGUUAACGAAUUCGAGAAGAUUUUGAAGCAAAAGCAGCGGAUCGCGUGGCUCAGAAUGCGCGCGAAAAUCAUCGUGCUUGCGCGUGCAAUUUCAAAUUAUACAAGACUGGUCGAAACAUUGAAAGAUCUUGAUAGAAAUGUCGACAAACGCAAGGAAGAGUUGAACACGAUUGAAACGGAGCUAGCCAUACAAUUGAAGAAACAAGAGGAAGAAAAGAGGGAUCGAGCGUUGAAACUGCUGGAAAUGCCACCGCCAAAGAUUAAUUUCUCCCACAUGCGCACGAUUUACGGUCCUAGGCCGGGAAUCGGCUUCCCAGACGGUUGGAAAAGAAAUUAUGAGAAUUCCAUAGAUACUCUAUCGGUGGACACCCUGAUGUUGGAAGAAAUGUGCUUAACCGAAGAGAAUUCCAUACAACCACCAUCCUGUAUUGAAGUUCAAGCCCAAAAUGAUCGGAAUCUUUCUUAUGAGCAACCGAUCGAUUCAAGAAGUUCUUCCCCGGAUCAAGAGCAGCAAGAAAUGGAGAACGAAGAUGUGGCCAGCGAAGUGGAUGGAAAUAUAGACUCAGAACCGAUCGAUGCAGUCGAGGAGGAAAUGGAACAACAAAUGAGUCAGGAACUGGAGCACGUAGACCAGUCAUCUGGUCUUUCCAAAGAUAAGCAAACGGACCAACGUUGCAAAGAUCUUGAAAAGGAGAGGGAUGAACCGGUGGCAAAGAAAAUGAAGUUGAUUUCGAGCGCAGAGAAACCGAUGGCAUCACCAAUGAAGGGUAUUCUAUUAGAGAGGACAAAGAGCUGUUCGGUCGAACCAUCUCCUCCACGUCCAAGAAUCUCGAGAAUCGAGACAAUUCAUUACAGUGUGCCUUCAAUUAAAAAAAUUGAAAAAUUCAUUCCAAGAGAAAUUCAAAUUCCAUUGAUGAAUCAAUCUCCUGGAUCAAUAAUAACGAAGAUGUCUUCUAUGCGGAAACUCGACCAGAAUAAUCCUAAUCCUUCCAGUAUGUUUACUCCUGGUCACUAUGAUUAUUCUAAUAAUAGUGAAAUAAGUUUUUGUAUCGAUGACAAUAUGACCGAAUUGAAAGCUGAUCAAAUAUCGCUCUAUGGUGGAUCUGUUCGAAAUUUUUGCGAGUGUCCCAAUUUAUCACCAAUCAAUGAAAAUUUAAAUCUAGAGGACAACGAAAACGUUCCAUCGACUAGCAAGACUCGCAAUUUUUCACAAUUUGAGAAAAAGUUCGACUUUAGUAAUAUUUUGAAAGGCAGUUCCAGCGGAAAAAAUCUUUUCUAAAUUUCAAUCUUAUCGAAGAGGAUCGAUAAUUAUUUAAGAGUCGUGUAUUUCUUGUAAAAUCUCAUUUCGAUGAAAUAAAAUCACGUGAAGUGAGAACAAAUGAGAUAAUUUCUCUCUUGGAAUGGUAAUAAGACUGGUUCAUUUUUCGUCUAGAGUGAAUAAUAUUCGAGCGAAAUUACGCGUAGUCGUAAUUUUCACUCUCGACAGUCGGUGGAAAGCGACGGUUCCAUCCUAAGAAGCCGGGAAAAGGAAACGUGAAAGACAUAGACGGGGGUAGAAAAGAGGCACACGCCAGGCUGGAGAGGGAGAAAGGAAGAGCACUCGGCUCGACGACUGAAAAAGUCAAACCUGUUUUUCUUUCCGGUUCGAAGUUCCGGUUCCACGAUUACGUGACUGGAAUCUGGCCUUGCCAUUGGCACGUCAUUCUUUCCCAGUCGCUGGAACCGGAAGUUCUUCAACUUGGAUUACUCGCGAAAUCCCUCCAACUCGCUACAGCUUCAUCGAAUCCAGUGAGUACACAUCGACUUCACUGUUUUACCAGCAGCUCCUUUGUUCUUUUUUUCCUUCAUCAUCAUCAUCGAUGGACAUAAAAAGAGUGCGGAAUAACGUCUGAAUCAGCAUAUAACAUUCUAUAAUCUUGGAUACGGCGUAUCCAUAUAUUUCGUAUCUUUCGUUACGAACUUUCGUUUGGACGGUUGGAGGGGAGCAAGAAGUUUGCGGAGAAAGGAGAGGAAAGGCGCGAGGAAAAAUAUUUGCCUGUUUGUUCGAUGUAGAAGGAAGGAAAACAGAGAAAUUAACGACACGAGUUUCUAUCCAACCUUUUCAUCGAUUUACUUUUUUAAAAGUAGUAGUUGGAUAGUGAUCAUGGAAGAAACGUCUCGUUCUUUUUUCGUUAGAUAUCGAAGAAACAAUGGAACAUGAAUG